rnacentral:rRNA from 1 species
CGCCUGGGGAGUACGAUCGCAAGAUUAAAACUCAAAGGAAUUGACGGGGCCCCGCACAAGCAGCGGAGCAUGCGGCGUAAUUCGACGCAACGCGAAGAACCUUACCAAGGCUUGACAUAUACAGGAAUACGGCAGAGAUGUCGUAGCGGUUAAACGUCUGUAUACAGGUGGUGCAUGGUUGUCGUCAGCUCGUGUCGUGAGAUGUUGGGUUAAGUCCCGCAACGAGCGCAACCCUCGUUCUGUGUUGCCAGCAUUUAGUUGGGGACUCACAGGAGACUGCCGGGGUUAACUCGGAGGAAGGUGGGGAUGACGUCAAAUCAUCAUGCCCCUUAUGUCUUGGGCUGCACGCAUGCUACAAUGGCUGGUACAAAGGGCUGCAAUACUGCAAAGUGGAGCGAAUCCCAAAAAGCCAGUCUCAGUUCGGAUUGGGGUCUGCAACUCGACCCCAUGAAGUCGGAGUUGCUAGUAAUCGUAGAUCAGCAACGCUACGGUGAAUACGUUCCCGGGGCUUGUACACACCGCCCGUCACAUCACGAAAGUCGGUAACACCCGAAGUCAGUGGCCCAACCGCAAGGAG